UACAGAGGUCUCAAGCGUUGUUCGGAUUCAUUGGGCGUAAAGGGCGCGUAGGCGGCGGGGUAAGUCGGGUGUGAAAUCUCAGAGCUCAACUCUGAAAUGGCACUUGAUACUGCUCUGCUAGAGGACUGGAGAGGAGAUUGGAAUUCACGGUGUAGCAGUGAAAUGCGUAGAUAUCGUGAGGAAGACCGGUGGCGAAGGCGGCUCUCUGGGACGGUACUGACGCUGAGACGCGAAAAGCGUGGGGGAGCGAACAGGAU
rnacentral:rRNA from 1 species